CAACCUAAUCCGGGGAAGGCUGUGAUUCCAACAUGGCAUUUUCCUUCCAUCCUCCACAGCAUGUCUUUCUGAAUCUGUGUCUGCAAUGCCAGGGAAGAGCCAUCAGGCCUGUGCUCCCCAAAACAGAGCUGAAGAGUGGACCUCAGGAACCUGGUCACUGGCAUCAUUGAAUUUGGAGGCUUCAAGACAGAGGCUGAAAAACAGUUUGCCUCUGUGAUUUCCAGCCUGUCCCCCUGAAUUCCAAUUUAUCAUUUCUCUCCAACAUUUCAUGUCUGUCUUUCCUUCUCGAUGUCCUGCUCUGCUAACUUCAGUCUCCAAUGCAAGACAUAGAAGCAACAGCCACACAUAAACUGUUUAGUCAGCUCCCAUAAUUGGGAAAAGUAAAAUAUUUGCAAUAAACAAUUGAUUCUACAUCACUUCCUGUGGUUCUGUUUCUCUGGGCAAACCCAACUUGAUACCAUCUGAAUAGUAGAAGUGAACCCACCAAUGUUCUUUGUGCUGGAAUUGACCUGGUUGUUAACCUAACUGGAUGAUUUGAUAGAGGCAAGAUAGAACAAUUGAGAUUUCUGACAAAGUUGUCAGGGAAAUAUAAUUGUAAAAUUGAAGAAUGGAACAGGAGCAGAUGGCAAUAAAUACCCAUGCUGAAGCAAUGAAAAUGACAGUUGGAAACCUUGAGAAUUCUGAAUUAAAUGUUUGGAGGAAGAUUGUCAAGAGAAAAAAGUUACAUGUAUAAAAUCUACAGUAGAAUUGGAAGAUGGAUCUAAUGAGAAUAACACUAAGGAAACACCAUCCUUCAAAAACUAAAAGCUCCUUGAUGAGACAAGAAAAUGAAGUGUCCCAGAAGAGGAAAUGCAGUAAGUGUUGGGGAUAAAAAGAAGGUUAGAAAGCGAACAAUUUCAGAAGGGAAGAAAUGACCUCUAAAAGGGAAGCUGGGAUGAUAGCAAAGGCAAUGUCAACGUCCUCACAAUUUCACUUAGAUUUUCCUGGCUACUCUGCAGAAGGCAUGAUAAGAUAAAUGCUUAUUGAUUUCAAGAUCAAGGCAACAGGAUCCUUUCUGUUUAAUUAUUUCUUUGUAAGUUAAAAACUAAAUGCUUUGGCAAGUGCUGUAAAUACAAAGGGCAGGGGUAUUCAGUGCCCUUAGAAUCAAUGGCAAGUUCAAGCUGUGUGUGACAAGGGAUAACCAUUAUUCAUCCAUUCAUUCUAACAAAGUCUGUAAAUGACUACCAUGCAUUAGGUGAUGGUCUGGUCACUGAAAUAUCAGAGACAGGUAAAGCUCAGUCUCUGUUCUUAAGGACCUCAGGGUUUAGAAGAAGAAAAAGACAUAUAAGUAAGUACAAUAGAAAUAUAAACAAGAACCAAAGGUAGCUCAGGGGAAGUGAGUAACUCUUAGAGGAAAAUAUUAAAUAAAGGAUUUCUGGAUGAGAGGAUGUUUGAACUGAAUUCUGAAGAUGAAUAAAAGUCCUUCUGGAGAAAUAAAAACACCAUUUUGGCAGAAAUAAUAGUAUAUGUGAAUACAUUUAGAACAAAGCAUGGAAACUAUGUUUAGGAUAUUGUCAUAAGCUUGGUAUCUUUAGAGCAUUUUGUGUAAGUGGUGAGGGGAGAAAAUGGGAGGAGAUAAAAAACGUAAACGUAGGGUAGGGUAGAUUAUGAAUGGAUAGAAAUGUCUCUUAAAGCAUCUGAACUAUACCCAAAUGCCUAGGAGGAGAA
rnacentral:lncRNA from 10 species